rnacentral:rRNA from 1 species
GCGCGAAAACUUUACACUACGCGAAAGCGUGAUAAGGGGAUCCUCAGUGCGUACACAAAUGUGUACGCUUUUGCCAAGGGCAAAAUCCUUGGCGAAUAAGUGGUGGGCAAGACUGGUGCCAGCCGCCGCGGUAACACCAGCGCCACGAGUGGGAAUCACAUUUAUUGGGUCUAAAGCGUUCGUAGCCGGUUCUGCAAAUCUUCUGUGAAAUCGUUGUGCUUAACGCAACGGCGUGCAGAAGAGACUACAGGACUUGGGACUGGGAGGAGUUAGGGGUAUGCAUGGGGGAGCAGUAAAAUGCAAUAAUCCCUUGUAGACCACCUGUGGCGAAGGCGCCUAACUAGAACAGAUCCGACGGUGAGGGACGAAAGCCAGGGGAGCAAUCCGG